GCUGGCGGCACGCUUAACACAUGCAAGUCGAACGGGAUCUUCGGAUCUAGUGGCAGACGGGUGAGUAACGCGUGGGAACCUGCCCAGUAGUAGAGAAUAACUUGAGGAAACUUAAGCUAAUACUUUAUACACCCUUCGGGGAAAAGCUUUAUGCGCUAUUGGAUGGGCCCGCGUUAGAUUAGUUUGUUGGUGAGGUAAUGGCUCACCAAGACUACGAUCUAUAGCUGGUCUGAGAGGAUGAUCAGCCACACUGGGACUGAGACACGGCCCAGACUCCUACGGGAGGCAGCAGUGGGGAAUAUUGGACAAUGGGGGCAACCCUGAUCCAGCGAUGCCGCGUGAGUGAUGAAGGCCUUCGGGUUGUAAAACUCUUUCGUCAGGGAAGAUAAUGACGGUACCUGAAGAAGAAGAUCCGGCUAACUCCGUGCCAGCAGCCGCGGUAAUACGGAGGGAUCUAGCGUUAUUCGGAAUUACUGGGCGUAAAGCGAGCGUAGGCGGAUUUGUAAGUUGGAGGUGAAAUCCCAGAGCUUAACUCUGGAACUGCCUUCAAAACUACAUUUCUUGAGUUUGGUAGAGGAGAGUGGAAUUCCUAGUGUAGAGGUGAAAUUCGUAGAUAUUAGGAGGAACACCAGUGGCGAAGGCGACUCUCUGGGCCAAUACUGACGCUGAGGUUCGAAAGCAUGGGUAGCGAACAGGAUUAGAUACCCUGGUAGUCCAUGCAGUAAACGAUGAGUGCUAGAUGUUGGGAAUUUAAAUUUCCAGUAUCGCAGUUAACGCGUUAAGCACUCCGCCUGGGAAGUACGGCCGC
rnacentral:rRNA from 1 species